rnacentral:rRNA from 1 species
AGUGAACGCUGGCGGUAGGCCUAACACAUGCAAGUCGAACGGCAGCACAGUAAGAGCUUGCUCUUACGGGUGGCGAGUGGCGGACGGGUGAGGAAUACAUCGGAAUCUACUUUUUCGUGGGGGAUAACGUAGGGAAACUUACGCUAAUACCGCAUACGACCUACGGGUGAAAGCAGGGGAUCUUCGGACCUUGCGCGAUUGAAUGAGCCGAUGUCGGAUUAGCUAGUUGGCGGGGUAAAGGCCCACCAAGGCGACGAUCCGUAGCUGGUCUGAGAGGAUGAUCAGCCACACUGGACCUGAGACACGGUCCAGACUCCUACGGGAGGCAGCAGGGGGGAUUAUUGGCCAAUGGGCGAAAGCCUGUUCCAGCCAUCCCGCGUGGGUGAAGAAGGCCUUCGGUUUGUAAAGCCCUUUUGUUGGGAAAGAAAAGCGGCAGGUUAAUCCCCCGCUGUUUUGACGGUACCCAAAGAAUAAGCACCGCCUACUUCCGU